GCACAGCUGCUAUGCAGCUGGAGUAGGGCUCCGCAUAUGGCACUUGAUCCAGUGAUGCCAAAAUGAUAGGACUCAAGAUGCUGAGUAAAAACAUUUUUAAAAAUGAUGAAAAAUAUCAAACAGAUAACUAAGGAGACCUUGGGUAAUAGGCAAAAUCAGACUUUCUGUGGCUCCGAUUUCUCUUCCCUGUGUCCACCUAUCUCUAGGACAAUGUUGAUUUUAGAUAAUAUGAGAUACAGAAAUCUUCUUUUGAAAAGAAAUUAACCUUCAGAAGACCCAAAGCAUAGUGAUUCAUUGGGGGAACGUGGACACUGGUCGUCUUCUAAACAUUCUUGUUGGGGCUGAGGCAGGGGACCGUUACAAAAUUUCCAGGGCAGAGCUGUCUCUGCAGCUUCAAAUGAUGACCUGUUGGAAAUGAGGUGAACAGGUUGUGUUUACAGCCUCAAAGAGAUUAUAUGAAUCAUACGGCUAUGCAUGUCCAAUCAAAGAAGAAGGAAAGCAAAGGUCAGACACAAACAUGAAAUGGACCUGACCCCAACCUCUUAGUUAUGUCAGGCAAUAAGGAAUCUUGGCCAAGCAGAGCAGCUGUGCCCAUGGUGUUCUCCCUGAUUGACCUCUUAUCUUAUUCAGAUGCGAGGUCUAAACAUAACAGUUUAGAAUCCUGAAAAAAAUCCUCUCUGCAAUGCUUUGAAUCAAAAACUGAUUUUUUUCAGCUGACCCGACUAUAUGGCGAAUGCAUCACAGCUGGUGCUGACAUAGAGCUAGGCAGCUAAUUUAAGGGAGGCACACUGGAGUUCCCUGGCUGCGAGGGCAAAAGAAAGCAAGUGGUGAAGGCCCGUGAUUCUCAUCUGACACUGAAUCAAGGCUAGAUCAAUCAAUGGAAAGGACCUUGAUAUACAAAGACAAGUUGAUUCAGAAUUAUGGAACCUGAGACAUAUCCCAGCUUUCCUGAGGGCAGAGCAUGCUUCUCCACCCUAUUGAUUUGGGGGCUUCAGAUGACUUGCUUUGACCAAUGGCAUGUGGGCAGAAGUGAUAGCAUGCCAGUUCCCAGAGGAGAACUGAAGAUCCAUUGCAAGUGUCCUCUUGUGCUCCUGUGCUGUGCAUGAGAAGAGCAUCACUCACAUAGCCACUCCAGAAUAAGAAUAUAGGUGCAGAAGACCUAACCCAACCCACAGUCUAGAGCCAAACCCAGCCAAAGAAUAAAAAUGCUCUAAACCCGCAAAGACAAAGGAUAAUAUUAAAAAAAAAAAAAAAAAAAAAGAAAAGAAGAGAAGAGAAAAAAUAGACAAGGUAGAUGAGAUUUACACAAAUUCUGGAAAGAUGGACAGUUUGUGCUGUCUUUGGAUGAGGGACAAAGUGUUUCAUUUGUAGUUUUAUGUAGGAUAAUUAGAUCACAUGGACUUUUAUUGAAUUGUACGUAAAGAUGAUGUGCGUCCAUGCAUGUGUUUGUGUGUGUGUGUAUUUGUGCUGGUUACCAAAGAAAUGGGUGUAGUGGAGAGCUUUAUUUUAUUUCAUUUUUUUGUUAUACUCAGAAUACCAUAACUCAAUAAAUAAUUGUGCAUAAUAAUAAUAAAACCCACAGAGAAUUAACAGUUGCAUCAUUAGACAUGUUACUUCUUUUCACAAUGAAAUCUUACUUGGUGAUAUUUUUCUAAAUUUCCCUGAGAGGCUAGAUGUUUAUAUAAAGUCAUGGCAAUGUUAAAGUGUAUAUUGUAUAUGAUGUAACAAAUGAGGCACUUAAUUUGAAUUUGUUUCCACAGAAUAAGCCAUUUGAUAUUUCUGUACUCUUUAUGGCAGAUUAGUUUUGCUUAUAGUAGAUUAUUACAUUCUUUCUGAGUCAUUAAGAGCUGUUACUGACGUGUACCAAACUGUGUUUUGAAGCAUUGCCAUUAUGUUUAAGCCAUAUAAUUUGUAGUUAAAACUAAAGGCAUGAAGCUUGUCAAAUACUGUUUUAUUUCAUAUUGAAAAAAGUAAGAAAAAUCUUCACUUCAAUGCUGAAUUAUUAUAAAGUAGAGCAAGCAGUGGAAAAAUUGCUAUUUAAAAAAGGAAAUGUUAUCUCAAUAUUUGCAAAGGCACUGUGGUAAAGUCUAUUAAUGCUUUUCUUUUCUGAUUAUUCUCUCCUUCCUGAGGACACAGGAAGAAUCUGGUCCCCAGGCCCCUUUGCGGUCAGGCAGGGCCAUGUGACUAUUUCUAGCCAGUGAAAUGUGAGUGAAACUGAUGCAUCUUGUUUCAGGCUGAAGCUUUUAAGAACAAGUAUGCCACUUCCAUUAUCUCCCUUCCUCUCUGGCAGUGACCACGAAGCUUGUUUAUUGAAAUGGCAGUACUCACAAAAUAAGCAGUCUGAGUGACCACAUGGAAAAAAGUAGCUCUGUAAAGACAUUUGACUGACAUCAGACUUUGUGCAUGUGAGAAAUAGAUUUUGUUGUUUAAGACGCUGUGGCUGUAACUAGUGACUAAAACAGUCAUGUAUUGUUAUGCAAAACCUGUGUCUAGAUUUUAACUUUAUUAAACAGAAACAUACUUAUUAGGACAGAGAGAGUCACUAUUUAAAGGCACCCGCAGGUAAAUAUUCUUUUAAUCAAAAAAUUGUUUAAAUGUGAAUAAACACCACUUGAUUUUUAACUGAUUAAUCAGAUCAUAAAGUUACAUGAUUAAAAAAUUAAGAGGUUGUGGGUGUGAACUUUACUCUUUGUUUUGUUCAAUAAUAGAACUCUGUCAUGUGCGUGUGUGUAUAUGUGUGUGUGUGUGUGUGUGUAGAGAGAGGCAAAUACUUAUAUGUAGUCAGAUAUUUUGAGCCAUUAAAUUGGACCAUAUGUGUGAGAACAAUUUGUAAGCUGAAAAGAAUCAUAAGAUACAAAGAAAUCAGCAGCACCAUUAUCAUCACCAUUAAAAUCUGGCUUCAUUAAGAGUCUCCGGGCUGGCCACGCACUUAGGAGGGGUCUACUCUGUUAUUCUAUUGGAUGAUUUAAUACGCUGGUAAUUCAGUCAAUUAACCGUAGUUGCUUGAACUACCUGGCACUGAGCAACCUAUUUAACAAAUGUGCAUGUUAAUUGACAGUUCAUUACUUUAACUGAUAGAGUAAGCUAUUUUGGUUUCACAUAGAUAUAGUUUUAGACAGUUACAAAUUAUUAUCUAAGAAGCUGAGCCCAUAUUCUAAACGCCAAGUCGGGCACUCCAAAGGUACCAUAGAGACUGGCAGUCGUUCUGCACAGAGGCAUGUGUUGUGUGUGUGUGGGUAUGUGUGUGUGUGUGAGCCUGUGUGUAUGUGUGUGUUCUCCCCCCAGUUUUUCAUAUAGCAUUUUUAAACAUUCUGACAUUAUUCUAAUCUCACUACUGUGACAGCAACUUCAAAACUAAGCAAUUUAACAAAUUUUACAGAAGCAAAAAGUACUAAAUCUAUGGCAUGGAUUCUGGCCUUCUGAGUUCAAGGCCAGAACAUUGUCCAUCAGACCACAGCUUCCUUUAGAGAAAAUAAAAAAACUAAAAACACCUCAAGGUUGUCAGCCAUUUUUUAAAAAUGUUACAUUUUGCUCUUUAACUUACCUGGAAUUAAUUAUUACGCUUAAUGUGUGAGAUAAAUCUAAAUUCAUAUUUUCUGUACGUUGUAAUAUACAGUCUUGAUUUUAUUUACAUAAAAACAUACAUUACUUUUCUGUCUUUUUAGAUUUCAAAACGCAUUUUCAAUCAGAUGGAAACAAAAGUUAAUUACAGGCAUUCACUAAUAAAUGUUACUAUAAUGGGAUGCUAACAUCAGGGUUCCUUGUAUUUCUUCUCUAUUUACUCCUAUGCCCCUAAUGUUAUCCUUGUCCUGAACUUCUUGCAGUUGAGGAAGCGCAUUUAUCUCCACAAUCCAUUGUUCAAAUUUGCAAUAAAUUCUUCAAAUCUUAAAGAAGCAACUGAAGAACAUGGAUUUUAGACUUAAGAUUUGAAUGCUAGUUUUACCAUUAAUUAGCUAAAUGAUCUUGGACAUGUUUCUUAACCAGGUUGAUCCUCAGUUUCCUCAUUUCUAUAGUGGAGUUAAAAUGUCUGCUUCAUAAGCAGUCCUGAGAA
rnacentral:lncRNA from 1 species